CUCAUUCCGUUGACCAACAGACAUAAUCCGUUAUUUUCUCCAAACGAGGAGGGCAAAUCCGCCACAAUAGUUAAUAAAAUCUGUCGGCCUCUUCUGCAAUUCCCUCCAAAAUGACUGAUUUUUGUUUUGCUCCCCUUACCAUUGCCGAUCCUCUUGUCUUCAAUAUUGGUUCGACCGUUCGAGCGUCUAGGGUUUUCUUCUCAGACAUUUACCACUGAUUCGGAUUGAUGCUCGUCCUAUAACGAAAAAUGUGAGCAUUAUUAGCGGUCUCUUAGUUGGGACCGAGUUUUUGAUGUACUAAUUUGAAGAAAUCAAAUGUGGAACCUUCUUGCCAUUAUCUAUGGACGUUAAUUGAGAUAUUGUAAAGCCUCAACUUGUUUGUUGUAAUUGUCUGUAUGAGCAAUUAGGCUCACAAAUCCUAUAUUUUUUUCUUUCCUUCUUCUUAACUCCUUGGAUAAAGGAUAUUUUGCCUUGGAAUGAAAUGAUGCAUCCUUUUUAGAUGUACAACACUAUCAUAAAAACAAGCAUUGUCAUUGUAUAUGUAUUGUUCUUAAUUGUUUCAAGAAAUUCCUCAGCCAAUUCAUUUCCUUGCCAA